ACGGCGACAGCGCAUGCGUGACGACGUCGGCAUAGCAACAGCGCGUCAGCGCGCCUGCGCCUGUGCUCGUUGCCCGAGCGGCGCCAGCCGUGCCGUCAUCACCCCGCGCCCCGAGGAAGAGGCGGCCGUGCCGAAGUCGAGCUGCUCUCCGCACUGCUGCAGCGCCGCCGGGCAACCCCGGGGCUCCGAGCGCCGCCUCCGCUUCUGCAAGUGGCUGUUCUGGGGGAGGCCUGAAGGGGUCCCCUCCGCGGGCGCCGCGAGCCGCCCUGCGUUGGCCCCGCGGGGCCUCUGUGGCACUCAGGGCUUCUGUUGGACGGCGGGAUGUUCCCUGUGCCUCCUCCCCUCCCAGGGGUACCUCGUUGCCCCACCCCACGCCCCCAUUCUGACCCCUAGGCUCCCCUAUCUGUGCCCCCCCCCCCCCGUCCUCCCGUCCCCGUUUCUGACCCCUACAAUACACUGUCGUCCCCCAUGAGUCUUUGUUUUGUGACUUACUUAGAGAGAAAGAGGCGUCGUUAUUUGAGAGAACGGGCCGUGGUGGAGAUGUUACACGACCCCACGUUUAUUCCUCAGAAUUCUGAUCCAAAUUCCAGUCCAAACCAAGGCCAUGAUCCUGAGAGAGUCAGGCGUACACCAAGUAUGUGGCAUAUGUGCACAAGGUCUGCACCAGCCCCUGUGAAAGUAACUGAAAGACUGGAUAGAGUAGAGAGUAAUCAGGAAGGUAGGAUGGAGGAACUGUCUGCUGUGCUUCAUCGUGAUGAGCCCUGUGAACCCGUGGUGAGAUGGGACACAGCUGAUGAGGAUCAGGAUGAUCAAAACAGCCUGCUGGAGGGGCUGAUCAAACUGGUUUCCUCCCAGCCUGCAUCAUCCAGUGUCUCAGCUGUUAAGACGUCCUCCUGGCUUGCGGAAUCAAACUCUAUAAUCCAGAGAUGGGUUAUAAAGCAGG